UGGUAUUCUAUGUUUAACGUACUGAUUUGAGUUCUUCAUGUAUCAAAGAAUCAUGUGAGAGGUUCAUGGCCAAAAUCUUUAGUCGAAGAGUUCCACUUUAAGACUCGACAUCAUUGCAAGCCUCAAAAUGUGCAUAUACAUCUUCAUUUGUGUUUCUCGCUCCCUAAAAACUCCAUCUCAAAGAAAGGCGAGAGGAAGAAUGGGGACUUUGCAGUUACUUGUAUUGGAAGACAACCAACGGGAGGAAGCCCAGCAACAAGCAUCUUUCGACAACCAAGAUUAUAUAGAUCCUGAAAAGAAAUUGAAGAUGAAAUCAUUAGUCCCUGCACUGAUAACAACCAAAGCACC